rnacentral:rRNA from 1 species
GACGAACGCUGGCGGCGUGCCUAACACAUGCAAGUCGAACGGAGAAUUAGCAAUAAUUCUUAGUGGCGAACGGGUGAGUAACGCGUAGACAGCCUACCCUUUAGAUGGGGACAACACCGCGAAAGUGGUGCUAAUACCGAAUAUUGCUUGAGAAGCGCAUGCUUUUCAAACUAAAGAUGGCCUCUAUUUAUAAGCUAUCGCUAAAGAAUGGGUCUGCGUCUGAUUAGCUAGUUGGUGAGAUAAAAGCUCACAAAGGAAACGAUCAGUAGCCGGUCUGAGAGGAUGAACGGCCACACUGGGACUGAGACACGGCCCAGACUCCUACGGGAGGCAGCAGUGGGGAAUCUUCCGCAAUGGACGAAAGUCUGACGGAGCAACGCCGCGUGAGUGAUGAAGGUUUUCGGAUCGUAAAACUCUGUUGUUAAGGACGAAUGUAUAGAUUGUGAAUAAUGGUUUAUAAUGACGGUACUUAACGAGGAAGCCACGGCUAACCACGUGCCAGCCGCCGCAGUAA